rnacentral:rRNA from 1 species
UGCAAUCUACCUUAUACAGGGGGAUAGCCCAGAGAAAUUUGGAUUAAUACCCCAUAGUGUUACGGAGUGGCAUCACACUGUAACUAAAGUUCCAACGGUAUAAGAUGAGCAUGCGUCCCAUUAGCUAGUUGGUAAGGUAACGGCUUACCAAGGCUACGAUGGGUAGGGGUCCUGAGAGGGAGAUCC